AUUUUUCCAAAACAGUCAAAACACUGCGAGGCGCCAUUUUUGGGCGAAUUGAACAGGAAAAAAAGCCAUGUGUCAAGCACUUUUCGUCCUUACAGAAAUGUAACGGUGUAGAGAGAUCACGAGUUGCAAGAGAUUUUACACUACAGAAAACAGACUUUCCUGCUGCUUGGGUUGUACUUGGGAGGUGUUCAUUGGAUUUCCUUCCUGAUCAAAGCCAAGGAUGCGUUGCUUAUCUUUGAGGGUGUCACUUUGGCUUGGAGGUUUAGGAAGUUCCUGUUGAAAAGAGCAGUCAGACUCUGAGUAAGAGUAGCUGGGGAAAUGACUGCUGUUGGUGACAGUGGCUGAUGUUGUGACAGCCUCAUUGGAGAUCAUUGUUCACCCUUUAAGUCUCAGAAGUGAUCAAUGUGCAACUUCUCCCAAUCAUGUUCAUACACUAUCCAGUAAACAGAUAAUGAGAAGACUCAAACAUAUCAGGUAGAAGUUGUCAUCACACCAAAUUCUCAUAAAUGAUUUACAAGAAAACGUGUAGCAGCUAGAUAGGAGAGUUAACAAUCAGAUCUUGAGAGUUAAAGGGGUUAGCUUUUGCACAGAAGGUCAUCUCAGACUUUGACUGAGUUGUCAAUGUGCAUGUCAUAUCACCCAGAACAUUCCUUUUCAAUAAAGUACUCUGUCUGUGGUAUUCAAAAAUAAAUAAUUUGUAAUAUGCCAUAAAACAA